rnacentral:rRNA from 1 species
AUUGAACGCUGGCGGCAUGCCUUACACAUGCAAGUCGAACGGAAACAGGUCUUCGGAUGCUGACGAGCGGCGGACGGGGGAGUAAUACAUCGGAACGUGCCCGAUCGUGGGGGAUAACGAGGCGAAAGCUUUGCUAAUACCGCAUACGAGCUACGGAUGAAAGCGGGGGAUCUUCGGACCUCGCGCGGACGGAGCGGCCGAUGGCAGAUUAGGUAGUUGGUGGGAUAAAAGCUUACCAAGCCGACGAUCUGUAGCUGGUCUGAGAGGAUGAUCAGCCACACUGGGACUGAGACACGGCCCAGACUCCUACGGGAGGCAGCAGUGGGGAAUUUUGGACAAUGGGCGAAAGCCUGAUCCAGCCAUGCCGCGUGCAGGAUGAAGGCCUUUGGGUUGUAAACUGCUUUUGUACGGAACGAAAAGCCUCUUUCUAAUAAAGAGGGGUCAUGACGGUACCGUAAGAAUAAGCACCGGCUAACUACGUG